CGGAUUUCCAGAGCGAGGAGGCAUACUCGGUUACCACACACUAAACACGCCUUCAGACAAGAGUGGUUAACCCUAACUGGUGCCACUUCGCUCUGGAAUUCCGGGGAAAGUCACUCUCGAGGGGUCCCAAUUCUCUUUAGCAAACGGAUACGGGUUAACACGCAGAUGGACGAAAAUGUUAGAAUAAUCGCAGCGGACUCUUCAAUUUAAAGUCCCACGUAGUUAAUAUUUACACACCAUGUUCGAGCGAAGGAAAAGCUCACACGCUCUUCCUCUAUAACGACACUAACACAUAUGUCUCAAGUAACUGCGAAACGAUAAUGGCAGGAGACACUUUUUAACACGGUCGGAAAUGUCGAACUAGAUAGACACCACCCACAAUAUAGGAAAUACGACGAAUCCGAACGCCCUAAAAAAAAGCAUUAUAGCAAUCUUCGACUUAAGACGAGCGUUCUGAAAGCGUCUUAGGACAAUAUACUCGGCCACAAGCGGGAACUCAAACGGGAAUAGAUCACGUAUGUGUAUACGUAGAUCCCAAGACAUAGCGCAGCGAAUGCAACAAGAACGGUCGACACUGCGAACUAGACUAGAGAGAGCGUCACGAUCGAUCUCGCUAGAGGUACGGGAAGCGAAGCGGAUUAUAACGCCUAAAGACGGAAAAACACGCAGAUGGAAGAAAACGGUAGAAUAAGGGAGUUUAAAUUGAACCAUAUAAAAGCGGAGUUUAAAUUGAACCAUAUAAAAGUCCCACGUAGUUAAUAUACACACUAUGUUCGAGCGAAGGAAAAGCUCACACGCUCUUCCUCUAUAACGACACUAACACAUAUGUCUCAAGUAACUGCGAAACGAUAAUGGCAGGAGACACUUUUUAACACGGUCGGAAAUGUCGAACUAGAUAGACACCACCCACAAUAUAGGAAAUACGACGAAUCCGAACGCCCUAAAAAAAAGCAUUAUAGCAAUCUUCGACUUAAGACGAGCGUUCUGAAAGCGUCUUAGGACAAUAUACUCGGCCACAAGCGGGAACUCAAACGGGAAUAGAUCACGUAUGUGUAUACUUAGAUCCCAAGACAUAGCGCAGCAAAUGCAACAAGAACGGUCGAUACUGCCAACUAGACUAGAGAGAGGGUCACGAUCGACCUCGCGAGACGUACGGAAAGCGAAGCGGAUUAUAAACGCCUAAAGACGGAAAUAAGAAAUCACGACAAACAAAUACAAAAAUCAAGAUCCCAAGACAUAGCGCAGCAAAUGCAACAAGAACGGUCGAUACUGCAAACUAGACUAGAGAGAGGGUCACGAUCGACCUCGCGAGACGUACGGAAAGCGAAGCGGAUUAUAAACGCCUAAAGACGGAAAUAAGAAAUCACGACAAACAAAUACAAAAAUCAAGAUCCCAAGACAUAGCGCAGCAAAUGCAACAAGAACGGUCGAUACUGCAAACUAGACUAGAGAGAGGGUCACGAUCGACCUCGCGAGACGUACGGAAAGCGAAGCGGAUUAUAAACGCCUAAAGACGGAAAUACGAAAUCACGACAAACA